GUUAUUUAUUUUUUUCCGCUACUUUCCUCCCCGCCCCGGUCCACCAUCGUCUCUCCUGCUCUGGGUCUGAAGCAACUUCAACGUACUUGAAGGGAGCUCAGAUCCCUAAUUAUCGAAGAUGAGUAGCUUGGCUGAGAGGCUCCGGGUUAGAUCAGAACGAAAGCCAAUUUACAAUUUGGAUGAAUCAGAUGAUGAUGCAGAUUUUGUGUCUGGAAGAUCUCGUAAAAAUGAGGAGAAGUUAGAAAAGAUUGUCAGAGAUGAUGCGAAAGAAAACUCCUGUCAAGCCUGUGGGGAGACUGAGAAUCUCUUGAGUUGUGCCACAUGUACUUAUGCAUAUCAUCCGAAGUGCUUACUUCCUCCAUUGAAAGCUCCUUCUCUUCAUGACAACUGGAGAUGCCCUGAAUGCGUUAGCCCUCUGAAUGACAUUGACAAGAUAUUGGAUUGCGAAAUGCGUCCUACUGUGGCUGAUGAUAAUGAUGCUUCCAAUACGGGUUCAAAGCAAAUAUUUGUGAAACAGUAUCUUGUAAAGUGGAAGGGGUUAUCUAUUUGCAUUGCACUUGGGUACCUGAGAAGGAGUUCCUAAAAGCUUUCAAGUCCAAUCCUCGUUUAAGGACAAAGGUGAACAACUUCCAUAGACAAAUGGCAUCAAAGAAUAUCUCCGAAGAUGACUUUGUUGCCAUUAGACCUGAGUGGACUACAGUUGAUCGAAUUCUUGCUUGCAGGGGAGGUGAGGAUGAGAAGGAAUACCUUGUUAAAUAUAUAAAGAACUUCCUUAUGAUGAAUGUUAUUGGGAGGUUGAAUCAGACAUAUCUGCAUUUCAACCUGAAAUUGAGAGAUUUAAUAAAAUUAGGUCCAGAUCUCGUAAAUCUGCUAGUCAGCAAAAAAGCAGCCUUCAAGAUGCUGUUGAGUGCAAGAAAAAAUCAAAGGAAUUUCAGCAGUGUGAACAUAGUCCCGAGUUUCUUUCUGGAGGCACAUUGCACCCUUACCAGCUUGAAGGAUUGAACUUCUUGCGUUUUUCUUGGUCCAAACAAACACAUGUAAUUCUUGCCGAUGAAAUGGGCCUUGGUAAAACGAUCCAGAGUAUUGCUUUCUUAGCAUCUCUUUUUGAAGAGAAGAUUGCUCCUCAUUUGGUAGUAGCACCUCUUUCAACAUUACGGAAUUGGGAACGGGAGUUUGCAACAUGGGCUCCCCAAAUGAAUGUUGUUAUGUAUGUAGGUUCUUCCCAAGCUCGUGCAGUAAUAAGGGAGUAUGAAUUUUAUCAUCCUAAAAAGGGUCAUAAGAAGAUCAAGAAAAAGAAAAUCUGGCCAAAUUGUUAGUGAAAGCAAACGAGAUAAGAUAAAAUUUGAUGUUCUUUUAACGUCAUAUGAGAUGAUUAACUUGGACACAGCAUCAUUGAAGCCAAUAAAAUGGGAGUGCAUGAUCGUUGAUGAAGGACAUCGGCUCAAGAAUAAGGAUUCAAAAUUGUUUCUUUCAUUGAAACAGUAUACCAGUUACCACCGCACUCUUUUGACUGGAACCCCU